rnacentral:rRNA from 1 species
UACGUAGGGGUCGAGCGUUGUCCGGAGUUACUGGGCGUAAAGCGCGCGCAGGCGGCGCGAUAAGACCGGCGUGAAAGCCCCCGGCUCAACUGGGGAGGGUCAUUCGAUACUGAUCGACUCGAAGGCAGGAGAGGGUAGUGGAAUUCCCGGUGUAGUGGUGAAAUGCGUAGAUAUCGGGAGGAACACCAGUGGCGAAGGCGACUACCUGGCCUGUUCUUGACGCUGAGGCGCGAAA